CCCUUAGAUGUUCUGGGCCGCACGCGCGCUACAAUGAUGAAUUCAACGAGUUUAUAACCUUGGUUGAAAAGCCUGGGUAAUCUUUUGAACUCUCGUCGUGAUGGGGCUAGACCCUUGCAAUUAUUGGUCUCCAACGAGGAAUUCCUAGUAAACGCAAGUCAUCAGCUUGCAUUGAUUACGUCCCUGCCCUUUGUACACACCGCCCGUCGCACCUACCGAUUGAAUGGUCCGGUGAAAUCUUCGGAUUGAGACUUUGAUUUCUUCACGGAAAACGCUGUUUUAAAAAGUUGAUUAAACCUUACCAUUUAGAGGAAGGUGAAGUCGUAACA
rnacentral:rRNA from 1 species